UGGUGGAGCGAUUUGUCUGCUUAAUAGCGAUAACGAACGAGACUCUGGCCUACUAACUAGAAGACAGUUCUUCGAGACUGUCAUACUUCUUAGAGGGAUAAGGGGAUUGAAGCCCCAAGAGAUUGAGCAAUAACA
rnacentral:rRNA from 1 species